UGGCGGAGGAGCCAAGAGUCCUCUUAACCUGGGCCCUUCAAAUUGCCCAGUUUAUCCCCCUCCUGAAAGUUGGUUUCUCUUACCCUACCGCCCGUGUGUUUGGGUGAGAUACUGCAACUGGUGUGGCCCAUGUAGGGAGGGGGCCGAGGGCCACAGCACACUCGUGAGUUUUUAGAGGUUCUGGCUUUCCUGCCACAAGAGCCCAGAGGAAAGCUUCUCAAACGAUUCUGCUGUGAAACCUGGAGCUGGGGUUUUAUGCACCACGAGGAGCAGCUGGUUUCUGGGGCCCUCAGUGAUCCGAGGAGGGUGACCGUGGGCACAGAGUGAUCCUGAAUCCGUUCGUGGGCCCAAGAUGUCUUGAUUAUGGAAUGUCAUCGGACCUCUGGCAUUUGGAAAGGGAAGUGAACUGUGUGUGGAAGGAGAAAAAGAGGUGAAAAAGAUCACAUUUCCUAAGGCGGGAGCCCCUGGGAGUCCCUGCUUUCAUCCUGGAGGUUUCGGUGGCCUCAGGACCAUAAACCUCGCCUUAUCUCCUGACCCCACAGCACGGAGAAGGCAUUGAACACAUACUUGAUGAGUGAAUGAUUGAAAAGCUGACAUAGAGUGGACAGUGGUUUAUUUUCAAGUCUGGCUUCCCGAAUUCAACACCACCUGCAGGCUACAGCCCCUUGUAACCACCACGCUAAUUUCUGCCUCUACGAAUUGGACUGCCAUAGGGACCUCACAGAAGUGGAACCAUCCAGUAUUCCUCCUUUUGUGGCCGGCUUAUUUCACUGAAUGUAAUGCCCUCAAGAUGCAUCCGCAUUGUAGUGCUUGCCAGAAGUUCCUUCCUUUUCUAGGCUGAAUCGUAUUCCAUUGUAUGUACCCAUCACAUUUUGUUUAUCUGCUCAUCAGUUGAUGGACGCUCAGGGGGUUCCCACCUUUUGGCUGUUGUGAAUAAUGCUGCUAUGGAUGUGGGUGCCCAGAUAUCUGCUCAAGCCCCCGCUUUCCAUCUUGUCUGCUUAUCUUCAUAUCCUGUUUCAUCGUUCGCCCUGAAAAUUCCUACUCUUUCCAGUCUCCUGGAAUAGCACUUGGCAGGGGGGGGGGGUGUCCUCUUUCAAUGCUCUCUUGUAAAGCCUAACAAAAAAAAUGAUUGGAGAAAUGUUUCUGAUAAUAAACUUGUGGGAAAAGCUAUUUUGUA